CAAAUAGACAAAGAGAUCCAUUGUUUAAUCAAAUUGUAUAUCUGUUAUUCAAAUUAUUGUCAACACGGUAACUAUCAUUGUUCAAGCUAAUUUUAUAUUGUAAAUGCUUUGUUAUUCCCUCCUUCUAAAGGACUUCACGAAUUGCUGGAACUGUUAGGAAUAAAUGCAGAUGCCAUUGCUAGGACAGGCGACGCCCUAGCUUUGUCUGAGAUGACACUAAAAUCCCUCAAUCCACUAAGAGUUUGUUGUGAAGGUGAGAAUAUCGGAUUCAUCAGCAGCCCGAUUCUACUUUGAACACUCCAUCUUCAAGUUGCCAGAUAAUGAGCCUAUUCUUGAAGCGAGAGCGACUGCAGUUUGGCUUGACAAGAACUAUCUCCCUGUCCGAAUACCAGCAGAUAUGAGGUCUAAAUUUGUCAAGUUUAUUCGACAAGAGGAUCAAUCCAACUAAAGCUAACAGAUGCAUACAGAGGUAUGCUAUUCUAUUGUACUAGGACUGAAAGAUUUCAAAAUAACAUCAUCUUCAUUAGGAUUAUAAAGAGAAUUAACCCUAAGUAGAAGAGAUACUUAAUCCUAAACAAUAGGAUUACAAAAGAUAUGUGAUAUUUAUCUGGAUAUUGAGAAUCUGGAGAUAUUACCUUGAUUUAAUUCUCUAAUAUGUACCUGUUUGUUUU